rnacentral:rRNA from 1 species
AUGUACAACGCUAGGCCUAUAAGAAGAUGGGUGAAAAAGAAUGUGAUCACCAAGCUCUCGGAGCUCCUAGUCCAUGAAGAAGCCGGUGAAGGCUCAGUGAUCCACAUUGAUGCUAUGGGUGACAAGGAUCUGAAGUAUGAAGUGGUGAAGAAGACGACGGUGAACCCGCAAGAAGAUAAAGAUGUAAACCAUAGGCGGCGGCUAAAGAGACAAAGUGGUUUGCUUAGAAAUGGCAUGAAGCCGAAUAGGCUGUCUAAGAAAAGAGCUAAAAAAAGAGGUCUCGCGAGUUCUGGCAACCAUAAGUACAGUUAA